GCAAUUCCAUAUGUAUUUUCCUCUCUCUCCGUUCCUCUGCUCAGUCUAUCUUCCCUCCUCUCUCCUUCUAAACACCAAAAGAAGACAAAAAAAAUGCUGUGCAUGUUUUCUUCUGUUAAUUAGUAUUUCAAGUCUUAAUUUCUUGCGUUAAUUUAUGUGGGUUUGAAAUAUACUGUAGCGUGAAAGAAGGGAAAACAAAGAAUUAAAGUUUUUGAUAGGACAGAAAGAUGAUGAAAAGCAACAGUGAGUCACCAAGACUUGAUCGAAAGACGGUCGAGAGGAAUCGCAGAAUUCACAUGAAGGAUUUAUGUUUCAAGCUGGCUUCUCUCAUUCCUUCUCAUCACUUCAAACAUUCUAAGGACAUGCUAUCGCAGCAAGGUCAACUAGACCAUGCUGCCGCCUACAUAAAGCACCUGAAAGAAAGAAUAGAGAAAUUAAAGAAGAAAAAGGAACAGGCAAUGGGAACUUCGGUAGCUAAUAAUAGCACCAUGGAUGCAAUGAUGAUGGGAUUGAGAUUGCCAAUGAUUGAACUUAGAGACUUGGGUUCAAGCAUAGAAGUGGUUUUGAUUAGUGGGUUGAAGAAGAACUUCAUGUUUUAUGAAGUUAUUACAAUUAUUGAGGAAGAAGGAGCUGAAGUUGUCAGCGCCAGCUUUUCAACCGUGGGUGAUAAGGUCUUCCACACAAUUCAUGCUCAGGUGAUUACUAAUGACUCAACUUUAAAUCAAUUUUAACUUUCUUGACAAUUAAGCAGACUAUUUUUUAUUUGAUUAGGUCAAAAUCUGUAGAGUUGGUGUGGAGACUUCAAGGGUAUGCCAGAGAUUGCAGGAACUGAUUUACUGGAGCUGCAUGUGAAAUCUGAAACAUGAAGAGUGAAGAGCUUCCAGGACUGUCAAAUAUUUUCCCUUCUGAAAUAUUGGCAUUAAAUCAUCCCACCUGCCAAAAGUACUGCCUAAUAGAUAUUCUUGUAAAUGCAGAAUAUCUAGCUAGCUUCAUCGUUCCUCUAUCAAUACAUAUAUAUGUAGGAAUAAUCUUCUCUACUUUGUGUAUUUUAAUAAUAAUAUAGUUCGCAAUUCAUGUUUUCCCCUUAAUUCUUAAUAACUUUAUUCUUACAUGAAUAUCUCUCCUUCCAUGUAUUCUCAAAAU
rnacentral:misc_RNA from 1 species